AUGGAGCAAAUAUACCGAGAAGUUUUUGAGAAGGUCUCUAGUUCUAUUGUGAUCGUUCGGCAGGUUCCAAGUGGUCAAUAUUGUAUUGGUUCUGUACUUUCCAGUGCACCAGACCCCAGUACAACAGUGAUUGUGACAUCCUCACCUUUAGCUGGGCAAAAGGAUAGAGUCUUCGUUCGUUUCAAUGACAAUACUGAAGUGGAAGCAAAGAGAUUAGCGUCUGAAGAUCGAUUCACUUUGCUUGAAGUUGUCCACUACAGAGCCAAUUGUAGUGUUGAAUUCAGCGAAAUAGAUGUUAAUGAACCCUCAGAGGCUAUUAUUCUCACUCCUAACUCAACAUCAUCUUUAUCACAUGUCCCAGGAUUUGUGAUACAGCCUUCGUGUGCUGCAAGGGAUAGCAAAAUGAAGAGAAUUGGAGGAUCUGAGAAAUAUUUUUUAGUCUCAUGUCACUUUAGGGGCUUGAUCAACUUCGGAUUUGGACGAAUUCAUAACCAGUUAAUGUCUGCUCCGGUUUUUGAUUUGAAUGGGAAAGUUAUUGGGCUACUGACUUCUCAGUGUGGCAUGUAUAAGAACAAAGUUGAUGUCAAGAUUGGACUUUUAGCCACCCAUGCUCGGAAGAUUAUUGAUGACCUACUCAAGGAAAGCGAGAAACAGAAAGAACUAGCUAGGCGCUCUGAGGAAAGCAAGAAGCAUGAAAAAGGAGCUGAGACUAAGAGCUCUGCAGGUAAAAGCAAGAAAAGGAGACUCAUGAAGGGAGGAAAGUCGGUAUUCUGA
rnacentral:rRNA from 1 species